CCUACGGGCGGCAGCAGUGAGGAAUAUUGGUCAAUGGUCGGGAGACUGCACCAGCCAAGCCGCGUGAGGGAUGAAGGUACAGAGUAUCGUAAACCUCUUUUGUCAGGGAACAAAGGCGGGGACGCGUCCCCGGAUGAGUGUACCUGAAGAAAAAGCAUCGGCUAACUCCGUGCCAGCAGCCGCGGUAAUACGGAGGAUGCGAGCGUUAUCCGGAUUGAUUGGGUUUAAAGGGUGCGCAGGCGGUCUGUUAAGUCAGCGGUCAAAGCCCGGGGCGAAACCCCGGCCCGCCGUUGACACUGGCAGUCUCGAGUUGGAGAGAGGUAUGCGGAAUGCGCGGUGUAGCGUGGAAAUGCAUAGAGAGCGCGCAGAACUCCGAUUGCGAAGGCAGCAUGCCGGCUCCACACUGACGCUGAGGCACGAAAGCGUGGGUAUCGAACAGGAUUAGAUACCCGAGUAGUC
rnacentral:rRNA from 1 species